rnacentral:rRNA from 1 species
AUGGAUCUGCUGCCUCCAAUUAGUGCGUCUCUGGGCGCUAUGGGCUCCCUUUACGGGAAGCUCGAUGCGUUCCUGGACACCGAACUCAAGGAUGAGAUCCGGGAACUUGGAUCCCGGCUGCUGAAGCUCGCCAAGGCACAAGAUCUUCCGGUUACAGCGAGGAUAUGGAUGAAGGAGGUACGCGAUCUAUCCUAUGAUAUGAUCAACUGUGUCGACACCGAUGCAGAUUGGAUCGAUAAGAUGUCACGAAUAUUCAAGCCACGCGUGAAGGAGGCCAAUGGACGGUACGACAGAUACAAGCUUGAGAGCGUCCCCAGCCGCCGUAUGAAUAUCGUUCCGAUCCCAACGGUGGUUGGCGAUCGGAAACCAGACAUCGGCCUCCAUGCCAAGGGCGGCGUGGUUGAUAGGCUCUGCAGAACUCUUACCGAUGGGGAUGAGCAGCUCAAGGUGCUAUCCAUUGUGGGUGUUGGAGGAAUCGGCAAGACCACGCUUGCCAAACAGCUAUGGCGGGAGCACAAACCGGGGGACUACUUCGACUGCCGAGCUUUUGUGCGGACGGCCAAGAAACCUGACAUGAGGAGGAUCCUGAGGAGCAUACUCGCACAAGUUCGUCCGCACCAACCACCCGACGCUAAUGAGGUGCACGACCUCAUUCAUGACCUCACCGAGCAUCUGAAGGAUAAAAGGUACUUCAUUAUAAUUGAUGACUUAUGGGAUACAUCAGUAUGGGAUGUUGCAGCCCACGCUUUCCCGAAGGGUAAUCAUGGCAGCCGGAUAAUAGCAACAACGGAAAUUGAGGAUGUAGCUCUUGCAUGCUGUAGUUAUCAGUCCAAGUACAUGGUUAAGAUGGAACCUCUUAGCGAGAGUCACUCGAAAGAGUUGUUCACAAGUGCAGUGUUUGGCUCUGGAGAACAACAUUCUUGCCACGUAAAUGAAGUGCCAGACGAGAUUAUAAGAAGAUGUGCUGGUUUACCACAGGCAAUUAUCAGCAUAUCCAGUAUCCUAGCAAGCUAUGGGGAAGCCAAUACAGUAGAGAACUGGGAGCAAAUACAAAACUGUUUGCCAACAAAUACAACUUCUGAUGAGAUACUGAAAGAAGUACUGAUUUUUUGCUACAAAAGUCUUCCCAGUUGUGCUCAGACAUGUCUGUUGUAUCUUAGUAUGUACCCGGAGAAUUACUUAAUCUUGAAGGAAGAUAUAAUGAAGCAAUGGGUGGCCGAAGGUUUCAUCCGUGCGCCAACAGAGAAAGAAAAAAUGGAAGUUGCUGGGAGCUAUUUUGAUAUGCUUGUUAAUAUGGGCAUGAUCCAACAUAUAGACAUAGACUAUAGCGAUGAGGUUUUGUACUAUGCGGUGCAUCACAUGGUACAUGAUAUUAUUACAUCUAAGUCCAUAGAAGAGAAUUUUGUCACUGUAAUAGAUUAUUCUCAAAGGACGGUACGGUUUUCUAACAAGGUUAGUCGUCUGUCCCUCCAGUUCGGCGGUGCAACAUAUGCAACUACACCAGCACGUAUUGGACAGUCGCAAGUACGAUCUCUUGCUUAUAAUGGACUGGUGAGCUGCUUGCCUUCCAUAUCAGAGUUUAAGCUUCUUCGAUUUCUGAUCCUCCAUAUUUGGGCUGAUCAACCAAGCACAGGCGUAAACCUCAGGCGUAUCUCUGAAUUGCUUCUGUUGAGAUAUUUGCAAGUCACAUGCAAUGACACCGUACAGCUGCCAGAUCAGUUGCAGGGUUUAAAACUGUUGGAAACACUUGAAAUAAAUGCAAGAGUAGCAGCUAUUCCAUCGGAUAUUGUUCAUCUUCAGAGCUUGUUGCACCUCCGUCUCGGAGGUGGGACAGAACUCCCCGAUGUGACUGGCAUCCUAAAAAGUGUCACCCUGAAUCCUCCUCCUAGUUCUUCGGGCAGGACAAUUUCAUUGGAUGGCUCGGGCAGUCCUCCUGAGUCAGUGAAGACAAUCGAGUUGCUGCCUCCCAUUUGUAGAAUCCCCAAGUGGAUUGGAAGGCUUACCAAACUCUGCGUUCUGAAAAUUGUUGUGAGAGAAUUGCUAAUGGAUGACAUCAGUAACCUUCAGGGAUUGUCAGCCCUCACUGUUCUUGCGUUGUACGUCCAGCAACGAACUACAGAACAAAUCAGCUUUGCAACGGGAGCACUCGCUGCUCUAGAGUAUUUUGAGUUCGGGUGUGGUGUAUUACACCUGUCUUUUGCGGAAGGAGCAAUGCCCAAUCUUCAGAGGAUGAAGCUAGGUUUCAAUGCCCACAGAGGAGAUCAGUAUGGUUGUUUGCUUUUCGGCAUUGAGCACCUGUCAAACGUCCAGGAGAUUGUUGGAGUAAUUGGGUCAACUGCUGGUGCCGAGGAACAUGACUUGCAGGCUGCAGAGUCUGCAUUCAAGAUCGCCAUUGGUGAGCAUCCUAGUAAUGUCAGCUUAAAAGCAUCAUACGUUGUUGAGGAGUAUGGCCCUCUAGAAAAACAGCAUUCGGUCCGAGGGAAGGACCCGUCCACAUCAAGUGAACUAUCUGGAAGUCAAAAACAAGAGUCUGAGGAAGCUAUAAAGCAAAAGGCCGAUAACAACUCCCAGUCAAUUAACUGGAGAAGUCACAACAAGGAACAUGAAAGCGUGGAGUCAUGGAAUGACACGCAGUCGUCAAUGCAGAAGGUUGUUCCUCAUGAAGCAAUUGAUAGUGAUGAUGAUCCUGACGGUGUUGUGAUUUUAGCACCAUUUGAAAAGAAUAAACAGGCAGUUGGAUAUCCUCUGGGUUGGCCAAAGCAUGUGAAGGACUAG